GUCUUCUCGUUUAUUUGGGAAGUCUGACCUGCCCAGUGAAAUAAUUAUUUAACGGCCGCGGUAUCUUGACCGUGCAAAGGUAGCAUAAUCAUUAGUCUUUUAAUAGAAGACUGGAAUGAAGGGUUUGACGAAAUAUUAACUGUCUCAUUUUGAUAUUUUAAAAUUUAAUUUUUGGGUUAAAAAGCUUAAAUUUUAUUGGAAGACGAGAAGACCCUAUAGAGCUUUAUAAUUAAAAUUAUAGUUGAAACUUGUUUAAUAAGGUAAAACUAUUAUGUUAAUUUUUUUGUUGGGGUGAUAGUAAAUAUAUAUUUAACUUUUAUAUAAUUAAAAUUGUUCAUUUAUUUAUGAUUAUUAGAUCCAUUAUUAUUGAUCAUUAGAACAAGUUACCUUAGGGAUAACAGCGUAAUCUUCUUUCAGAGUUCAAAUUUACAAGAAGGCUUGCGACCUCGAUGUUGGAUUAAGAUUAUAGUUAGGUGUAGCAGCCUAAUUAAUAGGUCUGUUCGACCUUUAAAUUCUU
rnacentral:rRNA from 1 species